rnacentral:rRNA from 1 species
AUUGAACGCUGGCGGCAGGCCUAACACAUGCAAGUCGAACGGUAACAGGAAACAGCUUGCUGUUUCGCUGUCGAGUGGCGGACGGGUGAGUAAUGUCUGGGAAACUGCCUGAUGGAGGGGGAUAACUACUGGAAACGGUAGCUAAUACCGCAUAACGUCUCAAGCCCAAAGAGGGGGACCUUCGGGCCUCUUGCCUUCGUCUGUGCCCUGGUGGGAUUAGCUAGUAGGUGGGGUAACGGCUCACCUAGGCCACGAUCCCUAGCUGGUCUGAGAGGAUGACCAGCCACACUGGAACUGAGACACGGUCCAGACUCCUACGGGAGGCAGCAGUGGGGAAUAUUGCACAAUGGGCGAAAGCCUGAUGCAGCCAUGCCGCGUGUAUGAAGAAGGCCUUCGGGUUGUAAAGUACUUUCAGCGGGGAGGAAGGGAGGAAAGAUAAUACCUUUACUCAUUGACGUUACCCGAAGAAGAAGCACCGGCUAACUCCGUG